rnacentral:rRNA from 1 species
CCAGACUCCUACGGGAGGCAGCAGUGAGGAAUAUUGGUCAAUGGGCGGGAGCCUGAACCAGCCAAGCCGCGUGAAGGAAGAAGGCGCCAAGCGUCGUAAACUUCUUUUGUCGGGGAACAAAGGGCGCCACGUGUGGCGUUGUGAGUGUACCCGAAGAAAAAGCAUCGGCUAACUCCGUGCCAGCAGCCGCGGUAAUACGGAGGAUGCGAGCGUUAUCCGGAUUUAUUGGGUUUAAAGGGUGCGUAGGCGGCCCGGAAACACGGCGGAAAAAGCCGGGGGCUCACCCCCGGCGAGCCGUUGAAACUGUCGGACUAGAGACGGCGAGAAGUACGCGGAAUGCGCGGUGUAGCGGUGAAAUGCAUAGAUAUCGCGCAGAACCCCGAUUGCGAAGGCAGCGUGCCGUGCCGCCACUGACGCUGAGGCACGAAAGCGCGGGGAUCGAACAGGAUUAGAUACCCGCGUAG